rnacentral:misc_RNA from 1 species
CAACCCUUAAGCCUAGCUUAGUGUUGGGACUCUACUGUACUGUAGUUCCCCAAAGACAGUGGCGGAGCGGCAGUGGUCCUCUGAGCGUAGUAAUUCAUUUCUCGCUCCUGUCAGGCCCUGUCCUCCCGCCGUAAAACCCCCAUCUUUUAGU